CCUCAGUGUGCAGUUUUUCUAAAGCGUUGAGAAGAUAAAAAACAUGGUCAACUCAAAAUUCGUUCUUUUGGCUUUCAUAGCUCUGUCUCUUUUUCUUUCCGGUGCUGAAACAAGAGAUACUGUGUGGUCUGGCUCUAAAUUAUCUUCAUUUUGUUGCAUCAGUCAGCCUCAAUUAGGAGCUUGUGAUACAAAACAACAGAAUGAUAGAUGUGAGAAGCUGUGCAUCCGUGGUUGUAGCCUAAACAAAGGCGGCGGCUGUCAACCUGUUCCUACUGGUUCUGUUUGUUCAUGUUACUGUUAAACUAGCGUCAUGAAAAAUUAUGCUCUUUUUUCUUUGAUUAUUUAUUAAUAAAACAUAUUCUUUUGUUAUGCUCCA